rnacentral:misc_RNA from 1 species
ACAUGUGCGUUUACCUUUACGAAGGACAAUGGGAAGAUCUAAGUCAGAUUCAUGAUUAGUAGUGGGACGAGAUCUUCUAAAAAAAUAAGCUGUUGAAGGGUUUGAAUCUGGGACUUCCAACCUCUUGGAAUAAACAUGAACAAUAGGAGGUCGAAUUAGUGUAAGUGCAGGUGGAGUAUGAGACUAGGGAGAGCUAGACAUUUGUUGGGCAAUGUUUAUUAAAAGAUUAACCUUCUCCCCCUGACUCUCAUACAUAGAAGAUGGUGGAAAGAAUAGAAUAGACUCAAAAAAAAUAUAACAUCUGCAGACAUAAUAUAACGCUUAAAAGUUGGAGAGAAACACUUGUACUCUUUUUGGAACCAAGGAUACCUAAGAAAGACACAUUUAAGGAAUUUUGAAUACAAUUUGUUAACCUGUGUACGAACAUCACGCACAAAAUAAGUACAACAAAAA